rnacentral:rRNA from 1 species
CAGCCCUUGACAUGUCUAGGACCGGUCGCAGAGACGCGACCUUCUCUUCGGAGCCUAGAGCACAGGUGCUGCAUGGCUGUCGUCAGCUCGUGUCGUGAGAUGUUGGGUUAAGUCCCGCAACGAGCGCAACCCCCGUCCUUAGUUGCUACCAUUUAGUUGAGCACUCUAAGGAGACUGCCGGUGAUAAGCCGCGAGGAAGGUGGGGAUGACGUCAAGUCCUCAUGGCCCUUACGGGCUGGGCUACACACGUGCUACAAUGGCGGUGACAAUGGGACGCUAAGGGGCAACCCUUCGCAAAUCUCAAAAAGCCGUCUCAGUUCGGAUUGGGCUCUGCAACUCGAGCCCAUGAAGUUGGAAUCGCUAGUAAUCGUGGAUCAGCAUGCCACGGUGAAUACGUUCCC